CCCGUACUUGGUGUUACUGCGAAGGGGGGACGGAGAAGGCUAUGUUGGCCGGGCGACGGUUGUCCCGGUUUAAGCGUGUAGGUGUGUGUUCCAGGUAAAUACGGUUCACUUUAACACUGAGGCGUGAUGACGAGGCACUACGGUGCUGAAGCAACAAAUGCCCUGCUUCCAGGAAAAGCCUCUAAGCAUCAGGUAACAUCAAAUCGUACCCCAAACCGACACAGGUGGUCAGGUAGAGAAUAC
rnacentral:rRNA from 1 species